rnacentral:rRNA from 1 species
GACGAACGCUGGCGGCGUGCUUAACACAUGCAAGUCGAGCGGUAAGGCCCUUUCGGGGGUACACGAGCGGCGAACGGGUGAGUAACACGUGGGUGACCUGCCCUCAGCUCUGGGAUAAGCCUGGGAAACCGGGUCUAAUACCGGAUAUGACUCCAUGACGCAUGUUGUGGGGUGGAAAGCCUUGUGCGACUGAGGAUGGGCCCGCGGCCUAUCAGCUUGUUGGUGGGGUGAUGGCCUACCAAGGCGACGACGGGUAGCCGGCCUGAGAGGGCGACCGGCCACACUGGGACUGAGACACGGCCCAGACUCCUACGGGAGGCAGCAGUGGGGAAUCUUGCGCAAUGGGCGAAAGCCUGACGCAGCGACGCCGCGUGAGGGAUGACGGCCUGGU